ensembl:snoRNA SNORD73 Small nucleolar RNA SNORD73
AACACAUGAUGACAAACUGUUUCGGUCCCAUAUGAUCCCCUGAUUACUAUCUAUUGAGAUCAGCUGAUGUU